rnacentral:rRNA from 1 species
GAUGAACGCUGACGGCAUGCUUAACACAUCAGCAAUUGAUUGGUGGCGGACGGGUGAGUAACGCGUAAAGAACUUGCCUCACAGGUAGGGACAACAUUUGGAAACGAAUGCUAAUACCUACUACUGUGAGAGAGCUUUGCGUCCCAUUAGCUAGUUGGAGAGGUAACGGCUCACCAAGGCGAUGAUGGGUAGCCGGCCUGAGAGGGUGAUCGGCCACAGGGGGACAGAGAUGCGGCCCUUACUACUACGUGAGGCAGGAGUGGGGAAGAAUGGAAAAUGGACCAAAGUAUGAACCAGAAAUUCUGUGUGCACGAUGAAGUUGUCGGAAGGGAAAGUGCUUUCAGUUGAGAAGCGGUACCAACAGAAGAAGUGACGGCUAAAUACGUGCCAGCAGCCGCGGUAAUUC